rnacentral:ncRNA from 1 species
UUCGUAUUACCCCUACCAUCUGGGACGACAAGGACGACGGCGCCACGGAAGCCGGUGCAAGCCCGGCACGGUCGCGCCACUGUGUGCCACCCCUCCAGCCAGGCGAGGGUGGUGAGUCAGACCCAA